CAUAAAGUAUGCAUUUAGCAUAGGGACCGAAGCGACACGCGUUGGCGAUUCGGUCACUAUCCGUUAGUCAGGCCUCAACCGUCUGCUGUUAGAGUAAUGGUCGAUCGUCGCGUGAAGCCUAGGUUUCUCGUCAAAGAAAUUAGAAUCAGUGGAUUAGUCCGAUCGGGGGGAAACCACUUAAAACAAAAAUCGUGAAAAGUUCCACCUUAAAAGUUCUACUUUUCCCUAUCCUUUUCCGAUUCCUUUUAAUAUUUUCUUUGCAGGAUGAACUAUGAUGCCAAAUUUCGUCCAAGAGAAGGAGGAAUCGAACCCAAAGAGGACUGAGUUAUGAUAACAAUUCCGACCAAGAGGAAGGGGAUGUGGAUUAGAAGAUGACCAGAAGUGGACUAAGUUAUGAGGAGAGGAAAGUGGAUUAGAAGAUGAUCAGAAGAGGACAGAGUAAUGGUAAACG
rnacentral:lncRNA from 1 species